rnacentral:rRNA from 1 species
GAUGAACGCUGACAGAAUGCUUAACACAUGCAAGUCUACCAAGAAUCACUUCGGUGAGGAAUGGUGGCGGACGGGUGAGUAACGCGUAAAUAAUCUGCCCUUUAGACUGGGAUAUCCUUUGGAAACGAAGGUUAAUACCGGAUAUUAUGAGAUGGACGCAUGUUCAACUUAUGAAAGCUAAAUGCACUAGAGGAGGAGUUUGCGUCCCAUUAGCUAGUGGGUGAGGUAAAGGCUCACCAAGGCCACGAUGGGUAGCCGGCCUGGGAGGGUGAACGGCCACAAGGGAGCUGAGACACGGUCCUUACUCCUACGGGAGGCAGCAGUGGGGAAUAUUGGACAAUGGACCAAAAGUCUGAUCCAGCAAUUCUGUGUGCACGAUGAAGGUCUUCGGAUUGUAAAGUGCUUUCAGUAGGGAAGAAAAAAAUGACGGUACCUACAGAAGAAGCGACGGCUAAAUAUGUGCCAGCCGCCGCCGUAACAC